GAUGAAGAACGUAGUGAAAUGCGAUACGUAAUGUGAAUUGCAGAAUUCAGUGAAUCAUCGAGUCUUUGAACGCACAUUGCGCCCCCUGGUAUUCCGGGGGGCAUGCCUGUCCGAGCGUCAUUGCUGCCCUCAAGCACGGCUUGUGGGUUGGGCCUCCGUCCUCCUCCCGGGGGACGGGCCCGAAAGGCAGCGGCGGCACCGCGUCCGGUCCUCGAGCGUAUGGGGCUUCGUCACCCGCUCUUGUAGGCCCGGCCGGCGCUUGCCGACACAUCAAUCUUUUUUCCAGGUUGACCUCGGAUCAGGUAGGGAUACCCGCUGAACUUAAGCAUAUCAAUAAGCGGAGGA
rnacentral:misc_RNA from 1 species